UACAGAGGGGGCAAGCGUUGUUCGGAAUUACUGGGCGUAAAGGGCGCGUAGGCGGCCCGCUAAGUCGAACGUGAAAUCCCCGGGCUCAACCUGGGAACUGCAUCUGUGACUGCAUUGCUGGAGUGCGGCAGAGGGGGAUGGAAUUCCGCGUGUAGCAGUGAAAUGCGUAGAUAUGCGGAGGAACACCGAUGGCGAAGGCAAUCCCCUGGGCCUGCACUGACGCUCAUGCACGAAAGCGUGGGGAGCAAACAGG
rnacentral:rRNA from 1 species